rnacentral:rRNA from 1 species
GUGAGGAAUAUUGGUCAAUGGACGAGAGUCUGAACCAGCCAAGUAGCGUGCAGGAUGACGGCCCUCCGGGUUGUAAACUGCUUUUAGUUGGGAAUAAAAAAGAUGACGUGUCAUCUAUUGUAUGUACCAUCAGAAAAAGGACCGGCUAAUUCCGUGCCAGCAGCCGCGGUAAUACGGAAGGUCCAGGCGUUAUCCGGAUUUAUUGGGUUUAAAGGGAGCGUAGGCGGAGAGAUAAGUCAGCGGUAAAAUCGUGCGGCUCAACCGUACCUCGCCGUUGAUACUGUUUUUCUUGAGUGCACACAGGGAUGCUGGAAUUCGUCGUGUAGCGGUGAAAUGCUUAGAUAUGACGAAGAACUCCGAUCGCGAAGGCAGGUGUCCGGGGUGCAACUGACGCUGAGGCUCGAAAGUGCGGGUAUCAAACAGGAUUAGAAACCCUAGUAGUCC